UAAUUUCCAAUUACCCUCGUCAUUAAUGAACGGCCUUGGGAGGCUGUAAUUCGGGCUCAAUAGCUGUUAUUUUCUGCUUCGGCAAUUUACCUUAUCAUUACGCAACUGAGCUGGAUUUUUGCAGGAGGCAUUUAAUGCGAAGGAAACCGAGAUUAAAACAAAAUCGAACUUUUCCUUUCAAGCCCAUCAGUGUUUUAAUUAUAUCCUGCUCCUCCGAAAUGAUCCCAAAAACCACUUUUAUGUUGAAAAGGGACCAACGGAGUGUUCCUUACACAUUCCACGGCUUAAUUGUAAGUAAAAUUAGAGACAAGACAUAAAGUUUUUAGUGUUGUACCGACGAAAAAAUACAAUUAAUGUAAGGUUGGCUGCUUAUGACUACGCUUAUGCCAUCAUACGAACACAGCAAAACGAACCGACAAAGGUGUAACGGGACUUUUUCUCAUUAUUAUUAAAUUUAUCGAAUGUUUCUGAAAAGAAACAAACGGAGACAAAUAAACUGUACAAGUUUAAUUUAAUUUUGGGCCUCUUGUCGGGUCGCUGCUUUGCAUAAAUUAAUAUUUACGGUUCCACAGGGGCAAUGCAGCUACCUGUGGAACUGAAAAUAUUCGGCCGACUGACAAAAACACAAUUUUGACUCGGAUACGACGACAAAUGUAACCGACAAUGGCAAUAAUCGGUUCAUACGGAAGAGCCAAGGAAAAAUGUAACUCUUGGAGGAAACAAAAAUGUAAACAUGUAAAAUAUCCUGCAGUUUUCUGAACAUAUGUCCAUCGAACUAAUGGUACACAUUAUCACGUCAUUAAAAGAAGAAUUUCAAAUUACGCAAGUAGGAGUUUCAACGAGAUAAAAUUCUGAGUAAGGCUUUGAAAGAAGAUGCAUUUGUAUUCUUCACAAAUAGUGAUUGAAUCCCACUUAUGGUAAAACAACUUUUGCAAGUCUUAUUUGAAAAGUGCAAGCUGAAAAUGACGUAAUUGAUACAGUGAUAACUACAGGUCUGUGAUUUGAAAAUACUGGAACCCAAUUUUUG